GAUGAAGAACGUAGCGAAAUGCAAUACGUAAUGUGAAUUGCAAAUUCAGUGAAUCAUCGAGUCUUUGAACGCACAUUGCGCCCCCUGGUAUUCCGGGGGGCAUGCCUGUCCGAGCGUCAUUGCUGCCCUCAAGCACGGCUUGUGUGUUGGGCCCCGUCCUCCGAUCCCGGGGGACGGGCCCGAAAGGCAGCGGCGGCACCGCGUCCGGUCCUCGAGCGUAUGGGGCUUUGUCACCCGCUCUGUAGGCCCGGCCGGCGCUUGCCGAUCAACCCAAAUUUUUAUCCAGGUUGACCUCGGAUCAGGUAGGGAUACCCGCUGAACUUAAGCAUAUCAAUAAGCGGAGGA
rnacentral:misc_RNA from 1 species